GGCUCUGUAGUGAUAAGAAUACUAAAUUGCAAAUUUAGAGGUGUGUUGUAAUGGCAUCAGAGUUU
rnacentral:tRNA from 1 species